CAAUAUUGUUUUAUGUGACAUGUGAACAAUAGAGAGUAGAUUGACCUCCUAAACACUUGGGUGAUUGAGUGAAACACUUGCUUGGUGAGAAUUGUUAAAUCCAUGUUUACAUCUAUGCUUAGUUGAUUGAUCAUUCAUGAACAAAACAUCUGUUGGAAAAAGAUUGAUUAUGUGAACUGAAUUGGAUUGAAAGCAUGCAUGCAUCUUUAUAGGAUUCCACUGAAAUCUGAAUUGUAUAAUAACUUGU
rnacentral:lncRNA from 1 species